rnacentral:rRNA from 1 species
CCUACGGGAGGCAGCAGUGAGGAAUAUUGGUCAAUGGGCGAGAGCCUGAACCAGCCAAGUCGCGUGAGGGAGUACUGCCCUAUGGGUUGUAAACCUCUUUUGUCGGGGAGCAAAAGCCGGACGUGUCCGGCUGUGAGAGUACCCGACGAAAAAGCAUCGGCUAACUCCGUGCCAGCAGCCGCGGUAAUACGGAGGAUGCGAGCGUUAUCCGGAUUUAUUGGGUUUAAAGGGUGCGCAGGCGGAUUUUUAAGUCAGCGGUAAAAUCGUGGGGCUCAACCCCGUCAAGCCGUUGAAAUUGGGGAUCUAGAGUGUGCGAGAGGUAUGCGGAAUGCGUGGUGUAGCGGUGAAAUGCAUAGAUAUCACGCAGAACCCCGAUUGCGAAGGCAGCAUACCGGUGCACAACUGACGCUCAGGCACGAAAGCGUGGGUAUCGAACAGGAUUAGAUACCCCAGUAGUC